UAGGGAAUAUUGGGCAAUGGGCGAAAGCCUGACCCAGCAACGCCGCGUGCAUGAUGAAGGUCUUCGGAUCGUAAAAUGCUUUUCUGAGAGAUGAGAAAGGACAGUAUCUCAGGAAUAAGUCUCGGCUAACUACGUGCCAGCAGCCGCGGUAAAACGUAGGAGGCAAGCGUUGUCCGGAUUUACUGGGCGUAAAGCGCGUGCAGGCGGUUCGGUAAGUUGGAUGUGAAAGCUCCUGGCUCAACUGGGAGAGGUCGUUCAAUACUACCGGACUUGAGAGCGGUAGAGGGAGGUGGAAUUCCCGGUGUAGUGGUGAAAUGCGUAGAUAUCGGGAGGAACACCAGUGGCGAAAGCGGCCUCCUGGACCGUUUCUGACGCUCAGACGCGAAAGCUAGGGUAGCAAACGGGAUUAGAGACCCCGGUAGUCCUAGCUGUAAACGAUGUGAACUUGGCGUCGGCGGGUUCAAAGCCGUCGGUGCCGAAGCUAACGCGAUAAGUUCACCGCCUGGGGACUACGGCCGCAAGGUUA
rnacentral:rRNA from 1 species